AUUCAGUCACCGUCUACAAACUAUGCUGUCAAGGCCAAUUUGAUACCCAAACUCUCAAAAGUAUAAAUGUGAUACCCAAAGACAUAUUUUGACAUCAACGUGAUACUUCCGUCCAAAAUUCGUGACGGUUCCGUUAAAAAAGUGACGUGGCAAGCAUGUGACUAGAUUUUUAAGGGCAAAGUCGUACUUUUACACCAAUUUUGUUUAUGUAUAUACACACACACACACACACAUACAUACAUACAUAUUUUAAAAAAAAAUAUGCUUUUCAUCUUCAACUUAGACCAGACAAGCCGCCAUCACCGCUGAUGUCGACGCCGCCGCCGCUCCGACGAGGAGGAGCAAGAGGCUUCACCACCCCAAGAAAUUUGAGUUUCUCAGCUGGGGCUUGAAGCCGCUGAUUGUAUUUCUCGAGUCGAUUGGGAAAGACACGACGAAGCAGAUCUCCCAAUAUGAUGUCGCUACGAUUAUCACCGACUACGUCAACCACUGCAGGCUUCUCCACCCGAUGAAGAAGAAGAGGAUCGUCUGCGACCAUAGCUCGGAUCAACGGCAGGCUUCUCCACGGCAGGAAAACCAUUGCUCGGAUCAAGAUCUACGAUUUGCUCCAGCCGCAUUUCGCUGAUAAUCUCGAGGAUGAUUACGAUGAUUCGUCGAAUGAGUCCGACGACGACGGUUUGGAAGAAGAGGAGGAGGAUAAGUGGCGGCAGCAGCAAAGGAAGAAGCUGAAGAGGAGAGUCGCCGCUCUACAUGCGCCUUUUCCGGUUCCGAAAAGCUGCUACGCCGCCGUGAUUCCGGAGAAUUUGAAGUUGGUGUACCUGGGAAGGUCGGUGGUGGAAGCUCUGCUCAAGCAGGACGAGGCUCAAGUGUUUGAGAACAAACUUGUGGGGAGCUUUGUGAGGACAAAAUCCUCUUCAACUUCAUGGGGUUGUUACAUACUUCCUCAUUUCCAUGCUCUCUAAUGAUAACUUCUUCCCGGUCUUGCUGCUGCUUGCUAUUCAAACCCAAGACUAAAACCUUCAAGCAAUCUUCCCCGGAGGUUAUCAAUGCUUGGAAACUGAAUUGGGUCGGAGAGUUCUUGCAAGAAGGCGUUGUAUCUUUUUACUCCGUUUGACUCCGGCGGCUACCUCUUUGGCUCUUUCGACUUUCGAUCUUGAGCUUGCGCUAAUCUUGAAACUAUUUAGGAGAGUAGGAGACUUAUCUGUCUACAUUCUCAGUUAGGAGCCCAACUUCGCCUCUAUUUCAGGGUGUUUUCGAAUCUAGGCAGCCCCUUUAGGUGCCCAAGACCACCUCUUCAUGGGCAUAAGAGGAGCUAGGGUAGUAGUAAAGUAGGCUUAAGCAUCAUCGACUCUCCUGAUGAUGAUGAUGUCAAGUUUUCUGGGAAAGUGCCCAGAUCAUCAAAGAAGAAGAAGAAGAAG